AUGCUCCACGCACUAAUGAAUUACCUGCUGCAGAGUUAAUUGUCUGUAACCACUGUGGGAAGGCACUGCUGGGUAUUACUGCAAACUCUUUGGAGCUGAGGUUGCUGUUUUUAGAGGUGUGGGACUUAGGAGGACAAGGCCUGUGCAGGCAAUGCAACGUUCACUUGUAAUCAUUAGCAGUGCCUAAAAGUCAUCUCUGCCUGAGCAGUGUGGCCAGUGCUGGGAUGCAGAAUGAGGACCACAGGACAGGCAGAGCCAUCUCCCACCAUUUUAAGCCCAGGUGGGGUUCUGGGCAGGUGUUUUCCAGCCCCCACAGCAAUAACAACACAAAACCAGGGAAAGCCAGCAGCUGCUCUGCACUCGGGCUGUGGCACAGCGUGUCCUGUCACGUCCCACACAAGCACACACGUGUGCUCCCCACAGCACAUCUGCCUGCAGAAGCAAACACCUCUGAACCAGCCACAAACACUGUGCAGAGGGAAAAACACAAAGGGACAGCUGCUCUGAAAGGUUUAUUUAUGAAAUCUGGGAGUGAAAGCAGAGUCCAAGAUGGGAUGCGCAGCACAACUCACAGAGGUGAAAGCAGAUGGUGGCAGUUAACAGGGGAUGAGCAAACAGGAACGAGUGGCACAGAAAUAUAAAUAAACUCAUGGCUCUUAGGAAUUCA